AGGACAGGGAGGAGAGGUACUCACCUGUCAGUCAGAAAGCCCCGCCCUCUUGCAGUCAGGUGUUUUAGCCUAAUCAUGUGAUUUUUAUCUUCUAAGCUAAAUUGAUUGGACCUGUCGCAGUGCAUUAUGGGAGUACAGGAGUGUGCACAAUAUUUAUUAGGAAGCUUUCAUGGUUAUAAAACGAAAAAAAAAAGAUCAUUAGUGUACUAUGUAGUAAAUGUGGUGUAGUUGUAGUUGUUUAUAUUAAAAAUCUAUGUGGUCACGUGGGUAUGGGAGGAGCUCCAAAGAAGUUUCCAAAAGUUGUUCAUGAAAAUCCUUUACCAGAAUCCAGACAGAUUCAUCUGAAGCACCUUCUGAAGAGCUUUAUAAUGAGCUGAUGAGGUGGUUCAGGUGUGUUAAAGCAGGAAACACACACACACACACACAUAGACAGAGUGAAGAUGAAGAGGAACCGGUGAAGGAACUGGAGAAGAACCUGCUGUCUCCUGUAAACACUGGAGAAUUGAGAGAUCAGCCUGGAAGAUCUCAGGUUUGACUCUGAAUCACAGCUCCUUCCUCCGCCAAGCUUUUCCUGGAAGUCACACAGGCGUCUGAGCUCGUCAGGUGGAACACAAGCGUGUAAAGUUCAAGCCCGGGUCUUCCUCAGACACACGGCUCCUCGCUGAUCCUCAUCAGCUCCGGAAAGAGGAGAACAAGUCGAACGUCAGAGAUGGAGAGGUGGAAAAGAAUUGGCUCAAUAUCAGCUCUCUUGAGUUAACGAGGUGUUUGGUGUCCAUCACAGGAGAACAUCUCCAGAUCUUCAGAGCAGGUUUCCGUGGAAGCUGAGGUAAAAUCGUGAAAUCUCCUAAACGUCAAAUAAAAGAGUAUUUCAGUUAAUCCCUUUUUAUUAGCUAUGAGAUGCUUUGGUUAUGAGAAGCAGAAUUAACCAAUCAGAUUCAUGCAUUUUAUUUUCUCAUUUCUGUUUAUUUCUUUCACUGAUAUCGAGGUGAUGGAUGAUGAAAUGCAGGAGGAGAAAAAGAUCGAGCUUUAUCAGAUAAAAUGACGUUUCUCCUUUAUUAUUAUUAUUAUUAUUAGUAGUAGUAGUAGUAGUAUCUUAUUGCAGUCAUUUUCAGUAGAACGUUUGUGUUAUUAAUAUGGCAUCAUGAUGGAUUGUCUUAAAUGAUUUAAAAUAAAAAAAAUUGUUUCAUUUCCACUCCUGCUGCUGUCUGACAUCACGUCACACUUCUCAGUUUAAUUAUACAGCUCACGAGGUGAAUGUAUUUAGUGUCCUUCUGUUUCCUCACUCCUCCAUGUGUGCUUUGUGAUUCAUUUACUGCCUUUAUUCAUCAUUCAUCCUUAGUAACGGCCCGGUCAGGGUCACGCCGGUUUAAAUUAGGCUACUAGUUUGUGUAAAUCACACAAAAACAAUCCCACGCACAUCUGUAAUAAAGCGCGGUUAUGAACUGGAGUGAUGUAGCUGAGGCUGAGGAACUGUUAGAGCCAGGAUUCACACACACUGCUGACGUUUCUGUCUGGUUCUGAGGAUUUUCUGUUAUUUCCAGGGGCGGAGCUUUAGGGUUCAUUUUUACUUCCAAAAAACAGUGUCUGAUCUAGGCCACGCCCACUUCAGUCCUCGUUUAAACCCCUACAGAACAGUGCUUAGGAUAAUAACUAAUAUGGAUGGCCACAGCAAGGACAUCUGAAAGAACAUCUGAGCGAUUUGUUUCAAUAUGAUUAGAAAUGAUUAGAAAUAAAAAUGAUUCUACUGGUUUAGAAAAAUUGGGCUGAAAUCAACGGAAUUACGUUACAAAUCUAAACGUACAAACCUGUUCAGACGUCUUUACACAAGACAAACACUACAGAACUAAAAUCAAAGUUUUAAAAUCAAGCAGGAAGUGAUGCGACGGGAGAUAUGUUCGCUGUUGACCGUGUUCACGCCGCCGGGUUUGUGAGACGUCGGGUAGAAAUUCAGCGUUGAGCGAGUUUUCCAUGUUGGACGUUGGGAUUUUCCGAGUUCUCAGUGUAACGGAUUGCAGCAUUAAUCCGAAUACAGAGCCGGAUAUUUGGAGCAUUAAACAGACACAGAGAGCCAUCGUCCUGCGUAUAGAUAUAUAUACGACAAAACCUUCAGGAAAGUGUAAAGUAACUGGAACUACUUUUUAAUUGUAAAGAUGGAAGAAUAGACGGAAAUCCAUAAGGGCAAAUCUGGGAAGAUUUUCUCUUGCGUCUGAACAUCUGUAGAACAUCUGCAGCUUUACGUUUCUGUUUUCUAGUCGUGUAAUUUAAACUUUUAUUCAACUUUUAUUCAACUUCUAUUCUGAGUGAGUUUGGAGUAAACAGAAUUCCUCUUCUCUCCAAAUUCUCAAAUGAUGAACUAUAUGAGUGCUACUAACAUACGGGUUGCCAGAUCUGCAGUUUUCCUGUGAAAUUGGUUUACUUUUGACUUUCUGCCGCAGUGUAAAUAUUGUUUUUUUUGUCUGUGGGAUGUUUGUGGGAUGUUUUGUGUAAA